CUCUGUAUACACACAUGUGCUCUAUACAUACAUAGAAUGUACCAGAAUACAAAUAAGUAUUAAAAUAAAAUCUUCUUUUAGAUGAUACGCAGGAAUUGCAUAUUAUCUAUUAAUACAAUUUCUCAUAGCUUAGUAGAGCCAUUUUCGUGUUAGUGCAUUAUUCUAUGGCAGAAUGCUCAUUGUAAAAGAAUACCGGAAGCUUUAGAACGCACCCAUAAUUUGUUUUUACAAAGUGUGACGUUGGCAUCCCUGUGACAAAAAGUUGGUAGCCUUGUAAUCGGCGAAUUAAUAACAAGAUAAGCGAGGCAAAAUGGACAAAAGAGGAGAAAAUAGUGAGUGUUAUUGAAAAGGCUAAAUAAAGUAUUUGUUACAUUGAAAUUACUUACUAAUGUAUCCAACUAGGAUUUAUUCAUACGUAAAUCUAAACAUCGAUCGCGUUCAAUUGCGAAACAAUGGAAGAAGUACGACGUUCGGAUUUUCGUCAUCAAUUUUACUUAUUUACAAUGAGAAAUGAUGUUGGACACACGACAACGACGACUGAUCGAAACUUUACAAGCACGUGGGGAAGCCAUUGGAAAGAUGACGUAAUAUGUAUGUACGACGGUCCACAUCCUUCUUGCUGCCGCUUACUCCGCCAUUCUGAAUUAUUUCGUGGCGUUUGUCGCAAGCCAGCUUCGUCCUCUCGUUGACUGCAGAAUGGGAGAGGUACGACGUCUGGAUUUUCGUCUUCAAUUUUACUUAUUUACAAUGAGAAAUGGUGUUGGACACAUGACGACGAGUGAUCGAAACAACAAGCACGUGGGGAAGCCAUUGCAAAGCUGACGUAACGCGCAUGCGCGACGAUACAGCUUCCUUGUUGCCGCUUAAUCCGCCAUUCUGAAUCAGUUCGUGGCACGUGUUCCAACCAAGCUUCGUCCUCUCGUUAAUUGCAGGGCGUAGAUUCUGCAAAUUUGUUCGUCAGCGUUAACAACACAGUGUGGCCCAUGUUCCUAGAAAGAAGCAAGAUUGAUUUGGCUAGAGUUCAACAGAGUAGACGUCUUCCGUUUAAGUUUAUACAUUCAUUCUUCGAUUAAGCAGUGUUCUUUCAGCGAAACUUCUUUUAGUAAUUUGCCGUCAGAGUAUAUUUUUUGUUCGAUUGUACAUUUUUUGGGAAGUGCGUUUUAUAUACGUGGAAUAGUUGAUAAUUCGGAAUUCAUUCAAAUUGAUUAACGUUGAUGUAACAUUAUUUCUUUAAUUUUACAUUAGUGGAUUCUACAUGGAUUCUUUCAACCUUCAUCGUCGUCAUGUGAUUAAUAAUCGACAUCAUCAGGAUAGGGAGGAGUUGUGCACGGUCGUCACCGCGCAGUUGAAUCUUUCUAGACGCAACCCACUUUUUAUCGAGCACUUGUUUAUGGUCGAGAUUUGUCUCGUACCAUUUUCUGUGCAUUUACGCUGGUUGCUCUGCCUUCGUCCAGCAUUAUAAAAUAACCGAGGACAUUCUACUCUCCUCCUUAUUUUUUAGACCUGCUUCAGAUGUCGUUAAUUGAUCUCACGUCGAGGACGAUCGAUGGGAAAAUCUAUGUACGCGAACGCGCAUAAUCUACAUUAUUUUAACGAGUCGUCGUCCGUCUUGGAAUAUCACUGCGAAAUAAAAAUUGUAGACUUUUCAUUGAUAGUACAUGAGAGAACGAAUACUGCUUAAAUCACGGAGUGGAUGUAUCAUUCGACGGGUCGUUUCCUGAUUGCUGUAAUGCGGUUGACAGUUCUUUAGCCAUCGAAAUGUUACAAGCACGUGGGGAAGCCAUUGCAAAGGUGACGUAAUGCGCAAGCGCAGCGGUCCACAGCCUCCUUGCUGCCUCAGAAUCCGCCAUUUUGAAUAAUGAUUGGCACGUGUUAUGACCAAGCUUUUUUCUUGCAGGAUGGAAGAGGUACGAUGUUCGGAUUAUCAAUUUUACUUACGUACGAUAAGAAGUGAUAUUCGAUACAGGACGACGAGUGGGCGUAGAUUCUGUAAAUUUGUUCGUCAGCGUUAACAACACAGUGUGGCCCAUGUUCCUAGAAAGAAGCAAGAUUGAUUUGGCUAGAGUUCAACAGAGUAGAUGUCUUCCGUUUAAGUUUAUACAUUCAUUCUUCGAUUAAGCAGUGUUCUCUCAGCGAAACUUCUUUUAGUAAUUUGCCGUCAGAGUAUAUUUUUUGUUCGAUUGUACAUUUUUUGGGAAGUGCGUUUUAUAUACGUGGAAUAGUUGAUAAUUCGGAAUUCAUUCAAAUUGAUUAACGUUGAUGUAACAUUAUUUCUUUAAUUUUACAUUAGUGGAUUUUAUAUGGAUUCUUUCAACCUUCAUCGUCGUCAUGUGAUUAAUAAUCGACAUCAUCAGGAUAGGGAGGAGUUGUGCACGGUCGUCACCGCGCAGUUGAAUCUUUCUAGACGCAACCCACUUUUUAUCGAGCACUUGUUUAUGGUCGAGAUUUGUCUCGUACCAUUUUCUGUGCAUUUACGCUGGUUGCUCUGCCUUCGUCCAGCAUUAUAAAAUAACCGAGGACAUUCUACUCUCCUCCUUAUUUUUUAGACCUGCUUCAGAUGUCGUUAAUUGAUCUCACGUCGAGGACGAUCGAUGGGAAAAUCUAUGUACGCGAACGCGCUUAAUCUACAUUAUUUUAACGAGUCGUCGUCCGUCUUGGAAUAUCGCUGCAAAAUAAAAAUUGUAGACUUUUCGUUGAUAGUAAAUGACAGAACGAAUACUGCUUAAAUCACGGAGUGGAUGUAUCAUUCGACGGAUCGUUUCCUGAUUGCUGUAAUGCGGUUGACAGUUCUUUAGCCGAGCUUUAUUUUGAGAGAUAUUAAAUUGAAAAAUUUAUAUCAUAUUUUUAAUAUUCCGAUAUUUUCGUACAAAUGGAUCGAAAUGUUACAAGCACGUGGGGAAGCCAUUGCAAAGGUGACGUAAUGCGCAAGUGCGGCGGUCCACAGCUCCCUUGCUGCCUCAGAAUCCACCAUUUUGAAUAAUUAUUGGCACGUGUUACGACCAAGCUUUUUUCUCUCGUUGAUUGCAGAAUGGAAGAGGUAAGACGUCCAGAUUUUCGUCAUCAAUUUUACUUAUUUACAAUAAUAAAUGGUGUUCGACACACAACGACUGGAUGUAGACGUGAUUUCUUUCGUUAUUGUUGACAUUACAUCGUGGCUAGUUUUCUUAAAAAUAAGCAAGAUGAAUUUAGUUACAUUCGAACAGAAUUGACAUCUUGACAGUACGAACGCUACUUAAAUCGUGGAAGGAAGCGUUCCUUGAUCUAACAACCAGCUAAGGAAUCAUUAUUUUCGAUGAUAGAAAGAAAGAAGUAUGAAGUUCAAAAUUUUCGUCAUCAGUUUUACUUAUCUAUGAUAAGCAAUGGUAUUGGACACAGGACGACAACUGAUAAGCAAUAGUUGACAUAUAUUAUUAUUUAUUUUCACGUUACCCUUUACGAUAACGUUUAGCUAAUUCUACAUUUAUUUUUUCAGGGUAUAGGCAUUGCGAUUUCGUCCGUUAUUGUUAACAAUGCAUCGUGGCCCGUGUUCCUUGAAAUAAGCAUGGUGAAUUUAGUUACAGUCGAACAGAAUUGACAUCUGUUUACACAUUCAUUCUUCGAUUAAACAGUGUUCUAUUAACGAUACUUUUACAUCGGAGUAUAUUUUUCUUCCGAUUACAUUUUUCAUUUAAUAUACAUCGAGUAGCUGAUAAUUCAAAGUUUAUUCAAGUUGGAUAACGUUAUCGUAACUUCAUUCCUUUAAUCGAUGAAAAAAUCUAUGUAAGCGAACGCGUCUUAAAUAACACUAUUUCAACGAAUCAUAUGGUCUCUCUUGAAAUAUCGCUGCGAAAUAGAAACGAUAGGCUUUUCGUCGAUAGUAUACGACAGAACGAACACUGCUUAAAUCGAAAUAUAUGUGUUAAUUGGGUCGUGGAUUCCCGGAUAGCAGUUCCGAAGUAUCACGCUCGUUAGAGCAAGAUGGUUCUUUAUUCUCUUGUCUGAUGAGGAAUACUUAACAUUUUGAUAUUUUUAUUAUAACACUAUUUUUAUUAAUUUUGUUAAUUUUUUUUUUUUUUUCUUUUAGGAAGCCUAUGUUGUAAUUUCGUUCUACUGUUUGGAUACGGAUAAAAGAACAAUUCAACGCUCUAGUUGGAAAUGGUCUUCGUAAAAUUGCGACUCACGGAAAGCCUCCUUCCUCUAGGAUCUAUCAUGAAUAUGAAGAUGAGAGAGGAAAGGAAAGGAGCCAGGAAGAUGCGAUGGAAGCAAUAACGAAGGAUGGAAUCUUGAAGAAUCUUCCAUUGGGUUAAAAUCAGCAAGAAAACAACGCUUCCUUCAUUUUACCGAACCGAAAGAAGACUCGCCUCUCCUUCGUGCGUAUUGCUUCUUUAAAUCUGCUUAAGCUCCAACGUUCUACGUAAUUCUCGGCGAUUUUGCGCACCCCUAAGCGUUUCUGCGUGACACCCUAAGCGAUCCUGCGAUACCCUGAGCAUUUCUGCGAUACCCUGAGCGUUUCUGCGACACCCCGAGCGUUUCUGCGACACCCCGAGCGUUUCUGCGACACCCCGAGCGUUUCUGCGACACCCCGAGCGUUUCUGCGACACCCCGAGCGUUUCUGCGACACCCCGAGCGUUUCUGCGACACCCCGAGCGUUUCUGCGACACCCCGAGCGUUUCUGCGACACCCCGAGCGUUUCUGCGACACCCCGAGCGUUUCUGCGACACCCCGAGCGUUUCUGCGACACCCCGAGCGUUUCUGCGACACCCCGAGCGUUUCUGCGACACCCCGAGCGUUUCUGCGACACCCCGAGCGUUUCUGCGACACCCCGAGCGUUUCUGCGACACCCCGAGCGUUUCUGCGACACCCCGAGCGUUUCUGCGACACCCCGAGCGUUUCUGCGAUACUACCUUGAGCGUACCUUGGAUACCCUAAGCGAUCUUGCAUGAUACCCUGAGCGUUUCUGCGACACCCUCAGCGUACCUGCGCAAUCCCUAACGUCGUAUUCUGUUCAAUUCUCAGCGUUUUGCGUAACCACCAGCAUUUCAAACGAUUCCCCUGCUUUAGUCUUGCGCAUAAUUGCGAUGUUUUACGAAAAAUUACAAGAUAGAAACAAAUUUGUUAGAAUCAUUGUUAUAAUAUUGUUGGAGUUUAUAGAGCGUUGAAAAAAUGAAACUUCAAUUGGAAGGUAGUACAUCAGUUGAUUUUUUCUUUCCGGAAUGUUAACAUAAAAUUGUUUUAUACUUCACAAGAUAUUACGUGCGGUGCAACGUUUAAGCGGUUGUAUUAUUGUUUAAAUCUUAUUUUAUAUCGACCAAUCGUAUAUUAUAGAUUCUUUAAAUAAUUGUAAAGUGAUAGAAAGCAUACAUAAACUUGGGUGCGUUAAGAAAACUAUUAUUUAAGUAUAAUUUUAUAUCGAACAAACGUAUAUUGUAAACCGUUUAAAUAAUUGUAUAGUGAUAAAAAGCGUAUAUAAACAAUGGUGCGUUGAGAAAAAUAUUUAAAUAUAAUUUUAACUCGAGUAAACGUAUAGUAUAGAAUGUUCAAAUAAUUAGUUAAACUAAUAGAAAGUAUACAUAAAUUCUGAUGCGUUGAGAGAAUUAUCGUUUAAUUAUAAUUUUAUACCGAACAAACGUAUAUUGUAAAAUUGUUUAAAUAAUUGUAAAGUGAUAGAAAGCAUACAUAAAUUUGAUGCAUUAAGAGAAUUUUAGACCACCGUUGGGCGUAUCGAAAACCGUCGUCCAGUAUUUAUCCGUAACAACAAACAUCUUUUUAGACAAUUCUUAGGAUAUCGCGUGACCCCAGCUUCGCGAAUAAUUGAAAUGCUCAUAUACUAAAAAAGAAAAAAAUAUUAUUUUUAUCAUUGUAAUAAGAAAGCGUCGAAAAAAAGGAAGGCAGUAUGUAAGCAGAUUUCUGUUCUGCGAAACGUUCGAUUAAAAUUAUUUUCUACGUACUACGAGCGGUAUAAAGCUUGAGCGGCGGGGUUGUAUUCUGUAAAUAUUAGUUUGAUACUACCGAGCGUAUAUAUGUAGCGUACAUUGCUUAAAUGAUUGUAAAACGACAAAAAAUAAAAAUGAUCUAGGUUUAGCGCGGUUCAACGCGGUCCAACGCGUGUACCGGAAAUUUUAGGGCAUGGUAGAGCGUUUCAACUACCGUGAAUCCAUUCGUGCGUAAUUAAGCGUGUUGCGUAAUUCCGAAGAGAUUGGCGUAACCCUUAGAAAUAUUGCGUAAACCCCUAACCCUUAUUUAGGUAAAUUCUCUGGCUCUGCUAGACGCAACGCAGCGAUUUCGCCCACUACGUGGUUUGGCGUAAGUAUCCAUUUGGCAAGGUAUGGUUUUUUUACACGUAAGUCCUAUCGAUUUUUCGCAACGUCCGACGUGGACACCCAGAGUUUUGUCUUUUUCAGGUUAUCUGCAACCUCGGAGUUAUUCAUUUACCUACAUACUAUCGAGAUUACUGAAGCGAUGGUAUUUUUUUUUGCAUAAUGUUAAGGGCAUUGCGUCGUUUGAACGAAUGCGCGUAAUCAGUAGUUUCUUUUUUUUUGUAUGAAGCCCACCGUAUCUAUAUAAUCCUUACAAAUUUUGUGUAAACCUUUGCGUGUAUUCAGCCGAACUUCUGUGGUCCAACUUCGGUGUAAUCCAGACGCGACCCAACGAUUUGCAAUUUUGGCUUAUCCGACUGGCGAUUUGAAGUAAGUAUUUGUGCUUUAUUUUUUAUUUUUAUGUAAUAUCUGUCUUCAAUAAUUACUAAUAUACCGACGUAAUUUCUAGGUUAUCCGUAGUACCCAUCUUAUUUCCCUAGAUUCUAGAGAGGUUACUUAAACGACAACAUCGUUGCAUAAUCCCAGGGGCAUAUUCGUUAUUUCCUACGAAUCAAGUAACGACCAGCGUCUUCAUAAAGUGCAGCAUUUCUGUAUAUCCUCAUAGAUUUGUCGUCAAUCCUAGAACGUAUUUAGGUGGCCUCCGAGCGUCAGGCGUAACGUCAUAGUGUCCGCAUAAGCGAAUAAAUUUGUUUUUACCUAACGCUUGUCAAAAUGCUUGUCAAUUUUGCAUAAUUCCUAGAUGUCCGUGUAAUUUCCACGGUAUCUUCAUCCACCAACUUACUAAUCCUAGAUAUUAACGUAGUUAUUUAAUAAACAGCAAUUAGCAUAGUCCGUGGGGCGUUUGCGUUAUUAUCGAAAAAUCGGCGUAACCACCAGCAUUUCCAUAAAGCUCGUUUCUAUGUAACCCUUACAAAUUUUGCAAAAAUUCUAGUACGUAUUAUGGUGGUUUACAGUGGUUCGACGUAAUUCCACAGUAAUCGCAUAAAAACCAUUCAGUGAUAUGAAGUAAUUAUUUUUCUUAUGUUCCUCUCUCUUAGGUAAUCGAUUGGUUUUUCCUGUUUAUCUGUAAUGCCCAGCUUAUUUUUCUAAAUAUUACGUAGAAUCGAUAAAUGACAACAUAUUUGCAUAAUCCCAGGGGCACCGCCAUAUGGGUGUGAACGUAAGUGUGUACGUACGAAUGAGAGCGUAGAGUGCCUCUACCGGCCAUUUUCUAAAACAGGUAGCAGGCCUCCGUAAUUUCCGUGUAAUCACUCUCAGACUGAUUUUAGUGUCUAAUAUUUGUUUCAUUUUAUUUUAUACUAUUUGCCUGAUUUUAUUGUAUAAUAUUUGUCUCAUUUUAAUAUAUACUAUUUGUUUAAUUUUAUUGCAUGAUAUUUGUGUGAUUUUAUUAUAUAAUAUUAAACAGAGGAGAAACUAUAAGUAAACAUCAGAAUUUGAAUGUUUGUGAUUGAUCAUUUAUACGACGCCUUUGAAUAAUCGUCUAAAAAGAAAACGGUUACAUCAAGCUUGCGUCUUUAUUGAAUAAGAGACACGACUGAGCUUCGAUGACAUUCCGCCUGCAGUACGUCUGAUUUGCGUUCAGUAUUCUAUCAGACUUCCUUCUGUUUCAUGUUAAAUUAUGCGGCAUAAGCUGUGGAAAGAUUGUAAAAGAGACGUAUAAGAACUGUAUGAGAGUUGUGCAAAAGUUGUGUGAGAUGUGCAAAAUGUGUGUAAAAGUUGUGUGAGACUUACGUAAAAGGUGCGUAAAACUUGUGAGAAAAUUCUGUAAAAGUUGUAGAAAAAGUAUUGUCUGAAGGUUGUGUCUGAGGUUGUGUCUGAGGUUGUGUCUGAAGGUUGUGUUUGAAGGUUGGGUCUGAGGUUGUGUCUGCAGGUUGUGUCUGAAGGUAGUGUCUGAAGGUUGGGUCUGAGGUUGCGUCUGAAGGUUGUGUCCGAAGGUUGCGUCCGAAGGU